rnacentral:rRNA from 1 species
CCUACGGGAGGCUGCAGUGGGGAAUAUUGCUCAAUGGGCGAAAGCCUGACCCAGCGACGCCGCGUGAAGGAUGAAGGUCUUCGGAUCGUAAACCUCUGUCAGCAGGGAAAAACGGUCACUGUGCUAAUCACUAUUGAAUUGACGUUACCUGCAAAGGAAGCACCGGCUAACUCCGUGCCAGCAGCCGCGGUAAUACGGAGGGGGCGAGCGUUAAUCGGAAUUAUUGGGCGUAAAGGGCGCGUAGGCGGUAUGUCAAGUCAAGGGUGAAAUCCCCGGGCUCAACGGGGGAAGGGCCUUUGAAACGGGCAAACUGGAGUGUGUGAGAGGAUAGUGGAAGUCGAGGUGUAGGAGUGAAAGCCGUAGAUAUCUGGAGGAACA